GCCCUCUCUCCUUGCUCAGUGCUGUGCAAAAAUAAAAUUCCUACUUUCUUCCACCACACCCAGAGUCAUAGAUUGGCUUGCUGUGCAACGAGUGAGCGAACUCACUUCAGGUUUGGUAACAAUUUGGUGACCCAGAUGGGACAAUGUCUCAGGUGGACGUCUCACCUGGGGCACACCGGCCUCUGGCUAAAGGCCUCUCUUGGAAGCUGUCCUGCAGCUGCCUGAGCCCCUUGUCUCAGGGACAGCCCCAAGCGACUGGCUGCUAACCAGACGAUGUUGGCCCACGAUGCUUUUGCUUUGGUGGUGGAAGAAACUAGGUUUAGGACUCAGGAAGACGUCUCUUCCCCCUGGUACAUAGUUGUAUAUUCUUCGUUGUGGGUCCUUCUAGUUGUGGCUUGUGGGGCGCUGCCUCAGCAUGGUUUGAUGAGCAGUGCCAUGUCCAUGCCCAGGAUUCGAACCAACGAAACACUGGGCCGCCUGCAGCAGAGUGCGUGAACUUAACCACUCGGUCACGGGGCCAACCCCUCACGGAGUUUUUGUAGACGAUAUAAAUAUAAUUGCUAAGAACAGGACACAAUUGGAAACACUGGUUAUAUUACCAAGGCUUUGACUGGAACAUCAUAUUUGAAAAAACAUACCGGCUUAAAUAUUACAAGACAGCUUUUGAGGAAUGAAGGUUGACAUUCCGGAAUAAAGCCACUUGGAAAUAUUGGCCUGGUACUGUGCUUAUGGGUUCUGUAACCUG
rnacentral:lncRNA from 1 species